rnacentral:rRNA from 1 species
GACGGAGGGUGCAAGCGUUGUUCGGAUUUACUGGGCGUAAAGGGCGCGUAGGCGGCCACCGCAAGUCGGUUGUGAAAUCUCUGGGCUUAACCCAGAAAGGUCAAUCGAUACUGCGGGGCUAGAGUGCAGAAGGGGCAACUGGAAUUCUCGGUGUAGCGGUGAAAUGCGUAGAUAUCGAGAGGAACACCUGCGGCGAAGGCGGGUUGCUGGGCUGACACUGACGCUGACAGCGCGAAAGCUAGGGGAGCGAACGGG